CGGCCGUGGAAAUCGAGCUGAAGGCGCUCGAACUGACGCAGAUGCGCGUGGUCGCCAACGAAAGCAAGAACGGCAAGGGCAAGCCCGAUCCGGCAUCGUCGACCCUCAAGAUCAAGGGUUCGGAAAUUCAGCAGACCAUCNNNNGCUGGAAAUCACCGGACCGUUCGCGCUGCCUUACGCGGACGAGCACGACAAGAGCAAUGAAGAGGCGAGCUGGGCGACGACAGUUGCGCCGGGCUACUUCAACUACCGCAAGGUCUCCAUCUACGGAGGCUCGAACG
rnacentral:misc_RNA from 1 species